AGGCGGGGACCGGGUACUCCCGCUGCAGCCCCCGAAGCUCCAUCUCCUCCGGAUCACUCACCGAGCCCGUGGACAUCCCGUUGUCCCCCUUGCCCACACGCGUCCUCUUUCCUCCCCCCUGGCCAGUCUCGCUGUCUCCGCCUUCCGCUCCCUGGCGGAGGCGGAGGCCAGAGAGCGCUCCAAGGAAGACUAAAAACCCAGGCCGGGAAGCGCGGGGUGAGAAAGCGAGGUGGGUGGCGAGAGCGUGAGCGCCCCUCUGCUGACCCCGGGGAGCGUGGACUACGAGUUGGCGCCCAAGUCCAGAAUCCGCGCGCACCGCGGAAAAUAUUUGCAAUACCUGCCACAUCCAAGGUUCAGCUGAGGCCAAUGUAAAGCCAGUAUUAUAGGACACUUCUCAGACUGAGAGCCCAAUGUCGUUGGAAACCACUGGGCCACAGGAAAGGCAGACUUCAAAUCAUCCCAACACCAGAGAACACUAAAUGACAGUGGACAGGAAGACAGUGUACCUUUUGCUCCUGAUGAUCGUAAGAACAACCUCCUUCCUCUUAUUGUGAAGUGCAAGGUGCAAAAAGGAGGCCUGCUGCUUGUUCAGGACUAUGUCAGCGUUGUGGCUCAGAAGAAGCGCAACGGCCUUGGCGUGGCCUUCCCUUGCAGCAAAGUGAAGUGCAGUGUUCUUUUGAAGAAAAACAGACACAGAAAAUGUGGUGACAGUGUCUAAUCUGUCUUAUUUCACUGCUUAACUGCUUAAAAGACAUUAGAGACACUAUUUAAUACCAAAAUACAUAGCACUUAAAACUGGUGUUCAGAAUCAAGCUUCAAAAUAAUGAGUUUAUAGUUCUAGCAUGGUGUGUGUGCAUGUGUGGGAAGUGGAUCUGUGUGUGUGUGUGUGUGUCUGUGUGUGUGUGUGUGUGUGUUAGAGAAAGAGAGAGAGAGAGAGAGAGAAUGAAUUCCAAGGCAUUUGUUUUGUGUUGCUUUUGCAAUGGGAUGAUUCCACAAGGGCAAAGGACAAGCUUUCAGGGUAAAGGUGUUGGGUUGAACACAGAAGAAAAUCCUCCUGAGAUUGAUCAUUUGUAGAACAGUGGCUUACAGAUUUGGGGCUUCACAAGCUUGUAAAUGUUUUUUAAAAUCAGAGACUGUUAUAAGUUUGCCCAUUUUUAGUUUCCCCACUUAAAGACUUUUUUUUUUUUUUGAAAAAGGCAACAACAGUCUUCUAUCCCCAUCAUUUUAUGAACAAACGUACAUUUCAAAAGUUACUCUCCCCAAAGGAAGGAAAGACAUAAUAGCACAAUAAAGGGCAGUAUUUCAAAUCAAUACACUUCAAAAUAACAGUUAUCUUAAUGAAAACUCACCCCUGCCUUCAUUUCUCUGGACCUACCAGGGAGUAAACGCUUUACCAUCAAAUUUCAUUGGCCUGUGGACCUCGCUGCUCUGUGAGACUGGAGGCUUCCCCAACAUUCACCCACCGCUUGGUAUUCUCCCAAUUCUGUUGCCUUUUGAUUCAUACUUCACCUCAAGAAUCCACUUGCUAAACACCCAACAAAAGGCUGGGAAUAGAGCAAGGAACGUAAAAGGUGUCUAGGAGAGUUUUCUGGCAAUGUUGGAAGUUUCUGCUAUAUCGAGAUUUUGGGUAAGCAUGAGGACCACAGUACAUACCCCGUCUUCAUCCAGGCGAUCUGUGCACUUCAAAUUAGUAUCAAGAAUGACCUUCAUGGUCUGAGUGUACCCGCCCAUGGACGCAUGAUGCAAAGCUGUCCAGCCAUUGUGGUCACUGGUAAAGAGUUAAGAAAAGAUGUGUGCAUACACUUAACAGAUGAAAUGCGGGAUGGGAUGCCACUUGGCUUAUUCUAGGUAAAUCUGAUGACCACAAAAAGCAUAAUUGAGAUCUAGCAACUAAAUAUUUAUAAAACAUUUAUAAUAAAUGAGCUAAUUCCAAGCUCAAUGAUCUUAAAUGACCUAUUUCUAAUGUGAUUCACACAUGUUUUUUACUUAGUGGUUUAAAAUAUGAAAGUAUAUAAACACAUUACCAAACACUUUGGGGUAGGAGAAGUACGCUUAGCAUGUCUGUGUCAUACAUAAUUUUUUUAAAGCUAUAAUGAACUGAUACACAUCAAUUUAAAUCUUGUUUUAUUCUUUCAAUGAACACUGUAUCAAAAUUUUUUUAUGAAGUAAUGUUAGUCUUUGUGGUUAAUAGUUUUUGAUAAUACUACUAAUAAUAUAGUACAUGGCUAUUAGAUACUUAGCUUAGUGUCAGUUAUUAUUCUAAGAGUUUAAAUCUGAAAAGCUUCCCUCUUGUGCUCUGAAAAAUGCUUACUCAAUUGCUUUGAAAAAUGUUUAUCCUUUUCCACAGAAAUUCAAGAUGUAAAUACAACAAAGCCUUGUCAUAUUCGUUAUCUUUUUUCAAAUUAGACAGAAAAAAAUUCGUGACACUAUUUAAUUUCAGUGCUAGUGAGCAGAUGUUUUAGGGUGCAAGAGCCAUGUUGCUAUUUCAGUUUUGAUGUAAUUAAGCAACAACGGUCUGGCCUGGGUCUACGUGGGUCCCCUUUGCAGGUCAGUUGCUUGGUGUUUCUUUGUAAACCAGAAAAAAACUGAGCAAAACAUUCAUUCAUGUAGCUGUAGCACCAAUUUGCUGGCAUCAAUAUUAUGGUAAGGAAAUGUGUUUUUGAACAUUAGCCUAAUAAGCUCUUUGCUACUGCUAUGGUAAGAUAUCAAAUGAAAAACCUCUGUAAAACAUUUCCAGGUUUCUUCUUUCUUAUCACAAUAUCAUUUAAUUAUGCCACAUAUUUUAUUAUACUUACAUAUUUUAACUUUGUUUCUUGUACUUGAGUUCAUUUAAGUAUAAUAAAAUUCAGAAAUUUUUACCAUCUCCUGUUGUCACUUAAAGGGAACUUUUUAUGCCUACCAUUCAUCAGAUUGAAUGAAAAGUAGAGUAUUUGAACUUGUAUGUUUUGUGUGUGUGUGUACGUGCAUACACACAUACACAACCACAGUUUUGUAUCUAUAUAGGAAUAUGGCAGCAUGAUGAGGUAAAAUAUGAGAAACUAUGUUUCAAAGAAAGGUUCUGAGAAAGACUGCACAAAGCCAAUUAUUCUGUGACCUUGAACAAGGUUCUUCAACGCUAUAAACUUCAAAGUCUUUGUCAGUUGGAAAUAAGACUGACUUCCCUUUCAGUAUUUUUAGAAGUUACAUAUGUUUUGAUGAUAAAAUAAAUUGGAUAAAAGUACUUAGUGAGAUAUAAAGUUAGACCUCAUAAUUAAAAAUAUAAUGAAAAGAUAGCCUGAAAAUGGCUAAUUAAAGAAAUUAUGUAAACACCCCAAUCAUAUAUCCUCACCUGAGAAACAAUGCACCUUUUUUCAGAAGAAGCUGAACUACUUUAUCAUAUCCAUUCUUUGCUGCCAGAUGGAGAGGAGUCAUUCCAUGAAGGUCACCUUCAUUCAGAAGCCUCGUAUCACUUAUGUCUUGUAGGAGCCUCUGACAGGUAUUGAUACGCCCAUAACUUGGAAAAAAUUAGGUUUCAUAUUUUCAAGGCAAAUAUUAAACAGAAAGAAGACAUGUUCAUACAUUGCUAGACUGACCCUUACCUGGCUGCAAAAUGCAGAGGUGAUUUCUUAUCUUUGCUUUUGGAAUGAAUGGACACAUUAAAGCCAAGUAGGUUAUUUACAGAACCAGGGCCCCCCUGUCUACAUGCAUAAUGUAGAGGAGUACACCCAUCGUUGUCUUCAUCCAUUACCAGCUCUUUGAUCUGUUGCAUCUAUAGGAAAAAAUUAAUAUCAUACAAAUAACUCUGCUAUUAUGCUAAUAUGAUGGUUUUCAAACUAUUCUGUAGGAAAAUAUUUUCCAACAAGGGUCAGUAUGUAUUCCUUGGGGCCAAAAUUGUAAAUAACCUAAAGGAUUUGAGAGUAAUAUAAACAUGAAUGAAGUUGAAUGCUCUGUCUUCAUGUAGUGUACAUUACCAUAUUAGUGUACAUUACUGUAUUAAAGGAUCUGAGAGAUCAUGCCAAUAGGAAAAUGUACUUAACAUUUUUAACUCAGCAUUUUUCAAAUAUAUUUGAUCAUGGCCCUUCCCUCUGCCCCUCCUCUUAUUUCCUCCCACCCCCAAAUAACACCCAACAGCUUCAUGUUAAUAUGUUCUGUUAGGUAAAAUGGAUGGGAUGUAAACAUUAGGUUUAUUUUAUGUUUUAUAUGUAUAGUAAAUAAAAAAUGAAUGC
rnacentral:antisense_RNA from 1 species